GCACCGGUGGCUCAGUGGUAGAGCGUCGCACUCGUAAUUGGUUGGUAUGCGAAGGUCGUGGGUUCAAUCCCCAUCCGGUGCA